UAUGUUGUCCAGACUGGUCUUGAAUUCCUGACCUGAGGUGAUCUGCUUGCCUUGGCCUCGUGAAGUGCUGGGAUUGCAGGUGUGACCCACCAUGCUCGGCCUGUCAACUGUACGUUAAUAAAUAAGACAUGAAACCUUAGUUUAGUACACAGUUGUUUACCUCCAUUCCCCCUUUUCUCCAUCAAGCCUACCUUGUAUUUGUUUAGGCAGCCACCUUUCAACAACCCAUGAAGUGUCUGGAGCUCCACCCUCUGCUCAAGAGGAACGGCACAUGACCCAGGUCUCUGCCAAUCAGCAUUUCACAUUCCUCAUGAUCGGUUCAAAGGUUGGCCUUGUGACUUGAUGUGACCAAUAGAAUGUGGCAGAAGUGAUGUUGAACAACUUUCAAGUCUAGACUUACAGUUUCUACUUAUGCUUUCUUGAAACACUGCCCUGAGACCACCAUGUAGGGAUGGAUGUUGCUAUAACCUCCUGGAGGAUAAGUGGGCAUGGAGAAGGAGAGCUAAUGCAUCCCAGCCAUCAAUCAGCACUGACUGCCAAUCAUUUGAGUGAGGCCAGCUUGGACCAUCCAGCUGUUCUUGCCAUCAUCUGACUGCAAUUACAUGAGUAAGCCCAGGUAAGACAAGCUGAAGAAGUGCCCAUCCAG